rnacentral:rRNA from 1 species
CCUACGGGAGGCAGCAGUGAGGAAUAUUGGUCAAUGGGCGAGAGCCUGAACCAGCCAAGUCGCGUGAAGGAUGACGGCCCUACGGGUUGUAAACUUCUUUUGUCAGGGAGCAAUUGGGUCCACGCGUGGGCUUAGCGAGAGUACCUGAAGAAAAAGCACCGGCUAACUCCGUGCCAGCAGCUGCGGUAAUACGGGGGAUGCGAGCGUUAUCCGGAUUUAUUGGGUUUAAAGGGUGCGUAGGCGGAAUAUCAAGUCAGCGGGAAAAAUUCGGGGCUCAACCCCGCCGUGCCGUUGAAACUGAUGUUCUUGAGUGGGCGAGAAGUAUGCGGAAUGCGUGGUGUAGCGGUGAAAUGCAUAGAUAUCACGCAGAACUCCGAUUGCGAAGGCAGCAUACCGGCGCCCAACUGACGCUGAAGCACGAAAGCGUGGGUAUCGAACAGGAUUAGAUACCCCAGUAGUC